rnacentral:rRNA from 1 species
GACGAACGCUGGCGGCGUGCCUAACACAUGCAAGUCGAGCGAGGAAUGACUGGUAGCUUGCUACCGGUUAUUUCUAGCGGCGGACGGGUGAGUAACGCGUGAGCAACCUGCCUUUAUCAGGGGGAUAACGCAUCGAAAGAUGUGCUAAUACCGCGUAAGACCACAGCCUCACAUGGGGCAGGGGUCAAAGGAGGAAUCCGGAUAAAGAUGGGCUCGCGUCCGAUUGGCUAGUUGGUGAGAUAACAGCCCACCAAGGCGACGAUCGGUAGCCGGCCUGAAGGGGUGAUCGGCAACAUUGGAACUGAGAUACGGUCCAGACUCCUACGGGAGGCAGCAGUGGGGAAUAUUGGGCAAUGGGCGAAAGCCUGACCCAGCAACGCCGCGUGAGGGAAGAAGGGUUUCGGCUCGUAAACCUCUGUCCUAUGGGACGAAGGAAGUGACGGUACCAUAGGAGGAAGCCCCGGCUAACUACGUGCCAGCAGCCGCCGUAA